rnacentral:misc_RNA from 1 species
UCUCCGUUGGUGAACCAGCGGAGGGAUCAUUACUGAGUGUUACAACUCCCAAACCCUUUGUGAACACUACCAUUCGUUGCUUCGGCGGGACCGCCCCGGCGCCUCUGCGCGCCGGAACCAGGCGCCCGCCGGGGGCCCGAAACUCUUGUUUUGUCAGUGGUAUUUUCUCUGAGUGGCAUAAGCAAAUAAAUUAAAACUUUCAACAACGGAUCUCUUGGUUCUG